rnacentral:lncRNA from 1 species
UUAUUAACCAUCUCCCCGGGUGAUUCCUAUUCAGCCAUAAGCUGCACCUGGUCUGCAAUGAGUAGAGCAGCAUGUCUCAAAGAGUAGCUGUGUACCCUCUAAAUCAGAAUCGCCUGAGGAGCUUGAAGAUUGUGCAGAUACCUCUCUGCAGAUACCUCCCUUCUGCUGCCCAGGAAGGAGGCAAAGGGUGGAGGGAGUAGAAAAAAUAAGGAGACAGUAUAAAAAGGGAGAUUGACGUCACUUCAACUCCCACCUGGCAGGAGUGGAGAGGGCCAAUUCUCCUGGAAGUGACAGCAUGGAACGUGCCUCCUGCUGCCUGACCACCUGCACCUCCUUCCUUCUCUUCCUCUCCCUGGCAACUGCAGCAGCCAAGGCUGCCCCUCAGGGGUUGCCGGGGGGCCUAGUUAGAGAAGAGGGAGAGGAGUGAAGAGAAAGAAAAUAGGGGGCAGCUAGAAAAAUAAGGUGAAGGUAUAGGAAUUAUAAACAGCCUUAGGCUUCUGUUCAUAUUGCAGCUCAAUCCAAUGCAAAUAAAUACCUAUUUUGAUAACUGUACUUGACUAAAGGAUAACAAUAUAUUAUUUGGCCAAGGAGUGCAUUCCAGUUACAUAAAAUUGCGUCUAUGCGUAGAAAAUGGUCCAGAAGAUUGUGAACCGUAUUAAUCUCCAAGUGGUGGAAUUUAAGGUACUAUUUUCCUUAUUUCAGCAUACUAAUCUGUAUUGCUUGAACAUUUUACACUAAGCAUGGGUUAUUUUUAUAAUGAGAAAUAAAGCCACUUUCGUUUGGGAGAACAAGAACAAGGAGUCACGGGGCUAAAGUACUAUACGGGACAGAGGGAGGAGUCGGGCACAGGCCCCUCCUUCAAUAAGCUCACAAACUCCAUGGCAGAAUCACGGAUGCUUUCUGAGUUGCAGAGAAAUGCAGCUAGGUGGCCCCGCAACAGAUGAGGGCUGGACUCGCCUGCAGGGAUGGCAUGUGGCCCAAAAGCCUAAGAUGGAUUCCAAAUAUAUCUAAUUGAGUGCAGACCUGAAGAGGAGUUUAGUGUAUUAAAGAAGGGAAACUUAUCAAGGUUAAUUAGUAUGAAGGAGGUAGCUCUGGAAGGAACUAUAUAGGUCAAAGGGAUCUAGAAAAAGCAAGUGUGAUGUUACAGAAUGAUAGCAUUCUUGUGGCUGUAACAAUGAGAUGUGCCAAGAGCUCGGCUGGAGAUUAAGGAAGUAAACCUGAGACCUCAUCAAAGACGGAGCCACUCCUGGUUGUCCUGGGACCUACUCCUCAGGGUUCUGAUAUUAUCCAUCAGAAGAGAUCUCUGAGAAGAUGCAUAAAGAAAUUUUCCAGUUGGCCAUUAUCUGCCUGUGGGUCCAGAGUUUGACCAUCCUUUCCAAAGUGAGGCCACACCAAACAUGAGGAGAGGGGGACAAAGCCCAAGACCUAGGCUGUACUCAAAGAUUCAUGUGCCUCAACUUCCCAUCCAGCCUUUCUGAGACUCUGCUCCACCCAUGCCUUUUCCCUAUCCCCAAUUACUGUCAUUUGUGUUGCCGUCAUGGUCUCCUUUUUUGUGCUUUUAAUCUAUACACAUUUAUUGGACGCCUGUUGUGUGCCUGGCACUGUACUGCAAAGACAAGUGAUUCCUAUCCUUAAGGAGGUCAUAGUAAAAUGAAAGACACUGAUACGUGAAGAAAUGAUUCUAAAAGAUGGGGUAACUGCAAUGAUUGUGAUAUAGCCAGUAUAUUAUAGAAGUACUGAGGUGAGGAACCCAAACCAACCUGAGGUGUGUGUGUGUGUGCCUGUACGUACAUGUGUGUUUUGGAGAGUGGGUGUGUGACAGGCACUGUUAGUGUCCUGCUCAUAUCUCCUGGAACCCCUUUGCCAUUUUCGUGUACGUCAGCUUCAGCUGCUUUCACUCCCAGCAGCCAGCACUGUGUCUCUUUGUUGGAGGACAGCUCUCAGGCUGCAGGAGCCCACUUUGUUUGUGCACGCACACAGAGAGCUGAAGUGUCUGGGAAUUUACUUCCCCAGAGGCAGUCCUAUGACUGACAGGUGUAGGGAUACAAGUACACCAGCCCUUUGCCCCUGAUCAAGAUAAUUCUGAUGUGUACCCUGCACUGUCUCCAAAAGUCCCCGAUGGAACGGAGCCAUAGUUACUCUCCAUGGAGAUAUCACAUCCUUGCUUGGCCUCUUUCCCUUCCCAGUCCCUCUUCCUCACUCCCCUAUUAGUUUUUCCUGGGAACACCUACUAAUAAAUGCACAUGAAUCCUCAUCUCGGGGCCUGCUUCUGGGAUACCCAAAUUAAGACAGGGAGAGUAAAGGAGAGAAGUCUUCUUUGAGGGUCCAUCUAAGCCAGGUCCUGAAGCAAGGGAAGAAUUUAGCAAGAUGAAAGAGGUAAGAGUUCACCCCAAGAGAGUGUGAAAAGGGAGUGCUAUGGAAAGAGCUUCAGACAGCAUGAACGAAAGCAUGCAGGUGAAAAACAGACUGGAAUACACAGGUAGCUACAACCACAUCCUAGAGCAUAGUUUAGGGAAAAGAUUGGCCAGUGAUAAGUGGGCAGGCAUCACAUCUUCCAGGGCUUGAUGCACUUAGUGUGCUGGAGCCAGCUAGCAGCCACUUGUUAAAUAUUCAGAAAUUUUGUGAUCCGGCUGUU